rnacentral:rRNA from 1 species
AAUAGCCUAACGGCUGAACCAGCAACUUGGAGGAAUGUAUAGCGAAAGCUCGUUGUAUUAACUUCGACUCUGUCGAAGUUUAUGCAGCAUCGACUAUGUCGAAUAAAGUUCUAGGUAGAGUUAUGAUAAUGACAUUUUCUAUCUAUGUGUCUUGACCAAGUCACGUGCCAGCAGUCGCGGUAAUACGUGGAAGACUAGUGUUAUUCAUCUUUAAUAGGUUUAAAGGGUACUUAGACGGUAAAUUUAGCCCAAAUAAAAACAAAGGGUACUAAUAAUACUAGAGUUUAAUGAGAGGGGGUGUGUAGUAGUGGAGUAGCGAUGAAAUUCUGUCAUACCAUUAUGACAGGCAACGGCGAAAGCAACCUUUUAUGUAAAAACUGACGUUAAAGGACGAAGGCUUUGUGUCACCAACAGGAUUAGAUACCCAAGUAAUCUUAGCAGACAAUUAUGAAUGUCAUAGAUAAGAAAAAAAAAAAUAUUCUUCUUUAUUCUUAUCUUCACAGAUAAGAAAAAAAAACAAAAGUAUUCUUUUUCUUAUUGCCACAGGUAAGGAAAAGUAUUAUUUUGUUUAGAAUAAAGAAAGGAUAUUAUUUGUCUAUAAAUGAAAGUGUAAGCAUUCCACCUCAAGAGUAAUGCGGCAACGCAUAAACUGAAAUCAUUAGACCGUUUCUGAAACCAGUAGUGAAGUAUGUUGUUUAAUUCGAUGGUCCGCACAAAACCUUACCACAAUUUGUAUAUUAUUAGCUUAGUACAAGAGUUGCACGGCUGUCUUCAGUUAAUGUCGUGAGAUUUUGGUUAGUUCCAUAAAAUUAACGUAAACCCUUACUUUAUUUAUAUCAUAAAGUAGUUCACCGCUAUAUUGGAUAUGAUAAAAGGGACUAAGACAAGUCAUCAUGGCCUGAAUAUUGUGGGCUAUAGACGUGCCACGUAUGCCUAUACAAAGGGACGCGAAAUUGUGAAAUUAAGCUAAUCCCCUAAAAUAGGAUAUAACAU